ensembl:lncRNA
AAAAUAUCUGCCUGUAAUAGCUGGCAGCCAUCUUUCUCCCAUGGAGGACAACCAUUCUUAGUGGGAAACUGACACAGGACUAAGUGGCGACAAGCACAAUUUCUGAUAUCAUUGCUUAAUUAUGUGCAUUCAGCAGUACCAAGAUGAACUGGUAUUUUUUUUUUAAAUUAUAGGAUAUUAAAUGAGACUUUCUCAACUCAUCUUCAUUUGAGGCUCCAAUAGUGUCUAAAAUAUAAUUAAAGGAAUCAAGUACAUAGGUACCCUACAGUGGGGUUCUAUAUACUCCACACUUGACACAAGAAGAGACAAAACCGGUUCUGCCUGUAAUAGUGUUCAUCCACUCCCCAGCCUUCAGAAGACAAGACUUGAGAAGCCAAGAGAGGCAGUUCUGGGUUUGCUGUGUGUUUCCUCUCACAACCCGUGAGGAGUGACAUCGCACAUAAGGGAAACAGCGAUUGAAGCCUUCAGCUGAAAAGUCUCUGGAAAGAACAAAACACAAGACAAACCCUUCUCAUGAAAGCGAAGCAGCGUUGUAUAUCUAUCCUGUCCCUCAAAUUCCUGCUGUAGCUUCACUGAAUGCUGUGCCCUUUGCUCCUUUUCCUUUCUUCCCUCCAACCUGAGCCUGAGGGGGAAGAUUAGAAGUCAGCGAGUGCAUGGAGAAAGGGGAGGCGUUAGGAUAUGGUACAAAAGCCACCGAGCUUCAAAUCCUGGGGCAGACCCACACUAACACUGAAGAAAACCAUUGCUUUGAAUAUGCACUUGGAGUCUUGAUUAUCACACUGAACUGUUUUUUCUUAACUUGGAAACUUUCAAACAUAUAUCAAUGUAAGGAGAAGGGAAGAAUGAGCCCCUAGGUUUUUUAGUAAUUCGACUUCAGUCAUUGCCCAACCCAAGAGCCUUUUUCAUUUCUCUCCCCACCUGCUUCUCCCUCUCUACUGGAUUAAAAUGAAGCAAACGUCAGAUAUCUGAUUAUUUUAUCAAUCAUUUCCAAAAUAUGGAUUCUCUUUUAACAUGAUUACAGUGUCAGUAUCACACCUUAAAAAUUAAUAUUUAUCUGUAUCACCAGCUAUCAACUGUUCAAAUCUUCCCAGUUGUGUCGUCAUGUCUUUGUGUAGUCGAUUUGUUUUUUACUCUGAAAGCUAAAUCCUCACAGGUUUGAUGAAGUCACCUUUUCAUCUGUAGGUUCUCUUCCAGACUCCCAGGUAGUUUGUGUCUUCUGGACAUACCCAG